rnacentral:piRNA from 1 species
UGAAGUACAUUACUUUAAAAUGGUUGCUCAGC